rfam:Rattus norvegicus chromosome 10, whole genome shotgun sequence.
GGGGAUUUAGCUCAGCGGUAGAGCGCUUGCCUAGCUAGCAAGCGCAAGGCCCUGGGUUCGGUCCCCAGCUCUG